GUGGGUGUAGCUCAGCUGGUAGAGCAUCGGCUUGUGGUGCCGAGGGUCGCGGGUUCAAGCCCCGUCACUCACCCCA
rnacentral:tRNA from 3 species